UACGGAGGGUGCGAGCGUUGUCCGGAAUCACUGGGCGUAAAGGGCGCGUAGGCGGCGUGUCGCGUCGGGAGUGAAAGACCGGGGCUUAACCCCGGUUCUGCUUCCGGUACGGGCAUGCUGGAGUGUGGCAGGGGAGACUGGAAUUCCUGGUGUAGCGGUGAAAUGCGCAGAUAUCAGGAGGAACACCGGUGGCGAAGGCGGGUCUCUGGGCCGAUACUGACGCUGAGGAGCGAAAGCGUGGGGAGCGAACAGG
rnacentral:rRNA from 1 species